rnacentral:antisense_RNA from 1 species
AGCAUAGUUUUAAUGCUUUGAUGAAGCUCAGCACGCUGCCGAAAUCUCAGUGUAUUUUUUCUUUUUCUUUUCUUUUCUUUUUUUCUUUUUUUUUUUUUGCAUGUGAGAGAAAGAACAACAAAUUGCAGUUUUAUCCAUUUGUAUUAUUUCUUUAGAAAACUCAACACUCUUUUUGUUGGAGGUGGGGAAAUGAGAAGGUGAUGUUUUGUUUUGCUUUUUUUUCCUAUUUUUUUUUUUAAAGGAGAAGAUGACAGUGUUCUCCUUGAGGAAGUUUGACUUUUGAAACAUACCACAUGCUUAAAGCACAUUUGAGCUCCUGCAUGAACAGUAAGCUAGCAGAUGGUAGAAAUAUUCGUUAUGAAUUCAAAAAAUCUUUACUGCGGACCUACAAUGUGCCAAGCAUGUCUCCUGACACUGGGGAUAAGCAGUGAACAACAACAAAAAGACAGACUUCUUCCACCCCGAGGCUUAUGUUCUAGGUCUUUGUGGGAAGAAACAAAUCACAAAAGCAAUUAAGAGAGCUCAAAUAAUGGGUUACUCACAUCUGGAUUAUUGUAGUCACCUUGUCACUGGUAUCUCUGCUUUCUCCUAACCCCAUCUAAUCUCCAAAAAAU